GCUUACGGCCACACCACCCUGAGCACGCCCGAUCUCGUCCGAUCUCGGAAGCUAAGCAGGGUCGGGCCUGGUUAGUGCUUGGAUGGGAGACCGCCUGGGAAUACCAGGUGCUGUAAGCU
rnacentral:rRNA from 1 species